rnacentral:misc_RNA from 1 species
UCUCCCUAAAACCAUGUCCAUGACCAUGACUAGAGUUGUUCAAAUCCUGCCCAAAAAUCUUUGGAAUUCCUUCAACCCUCUCCACAAAACCCACAUUGGAAAACAGGGAAUUCUCAUCUUUCUUCUCGUCGACCACAGGUAAGCAUGGAGCUGAUACCGGCACAAUAGAUUUGGCCCUCGUAACUGUCUCAUGAUUCGAAAAGGUAGACCUUAUUGACUGAACCAUCAAAAUACUCUCAGGAACGGAUCUCACAGACCCCAAUUCAACAACUCCAACAUCAGUUGCCACCAAAACAAUGGUCUGAAUCCCCGCAGAUUUUGCAAGAAAAGACCUCACACAAUAAUCAUUCCCCGACUUCAAAGCAUCGGCAACCCACACAUGCUUCCCGGACGCAAAACAUUUGCCCGGGCCACCUUCUCCACGAGGAAAUGAGAAAUACAUGGAUGCUAAGAAGAACAUCUCAGUAUCAGUAACCCGGUC